GAUGAACGCUCGUGGCGUGCCUAAUACAUGCAAGUCGAGCGAACAGACGAGGAGCUUGCUCCUUUGACGUUAGCGGCGGACGGGUGAGUAACACGUGGGUAACCUACCUAUAAGACUGGGAUAACUUCGGGAAACCGGAGCUAAUACCGGAUAAUAUUUCGAACCGCAUGGUUCGAUAGUGAAAGAUGGCUUUGCUAUCACUUAUAGAUGGACCUGCGCCGUAUUAGCUAGUUGGUAAGGUAACGGCUUACCAAGGCAACGAUACGUAGCCGACCUGAGAGGGUGAUCGGCCACACUGGAACUGAGACACGGUCCAGACUCCUACGGGAGGCAGCAGUAGGGAAUCUUCCGCAAUGGGCGAAAGCCUGACGGAGCAACGCCGCGUGAGUGAUGAAGGUCUUCGGAUCGUAAAACUCUGUUAUUAGGGAAGAACAAACGUGUAAGUAACUGUGCACGUCUUGACGGUACCUAAUCAGAAAGCCACGGCUAACUACGUGCCAGCAGCCGCGGUAAUACGUAGGUGGCAAGCGUUAUCCGGAAUUAUUGGGCGUAAAGCGCGCGUAGGCGGUUUUUUAAGUCUGAUGUGAAAGCCCACGGCUCAACCGUGGAGGGUCAUUGGAAACUGGAAAACUUGAGUGCAGAAGAGGAAAGUGGAAUUCCAUGUGUAGCGGUGAAAUGCGCAGAGAUAUGGAGGAACACCAGUGGCGAAGGCGACUUUCUGGUCUGUAACUGACGCUGAUGUGCGAAAGCGUGGGGAUCAAACAGGAUUAGAUACCCUGGUAGUCCACGCCGUAAACGAUGAGUGCUAAGUGUUAGGGGGUUUCCGCCCCUUAGUGCUGCAGCUAACGCAUUAAGCACUCCGCCUGGGGAGUACGACCGCAAGGUUGAAACUCAAAGGGAUUGACGGGGACCCGCACAAGCGGUGGAGCAUGUGGUUUAAUUCGAAGCAACGCGAAGAACCUUACCAAAUCUUGACAUCCUUUGACCCUUCUAGAGAUAGAAGUUUCCCCUUCGGGGGACAAAGUGACAGGUGGUGCAUGGUUGUCGUCAGCUCGUGUCGUGAGAUGUUGGGUUAAGUCCCGCAACGAGCGCAACCCUUAAGCUUAGUUGCCAUCAUUAAGUUGGGCACUCUAAGUUGACUGCCGGUGACAAACCGGAGGAAGGUGGGGAUGACGUCAAAUCAUCAUGCCCCUUAUGAUUUGGGCUACACACGUGCUACAAUGGACAAUACAAAGGGCAGCGAAACCGCGAGGUCAAGCAAAUCCCAUAAAGUCGUUCUCAGUUCGGAUUGUAGUCUGCAACUCGACUACAUGAAGCUGGAAUCGCUAGUAAUCGUAGACCAGCAUGCUACGGUGAAUACGUUCCCGGGUCU
rnacentral:rRNA from 1 species